GGAGAGAUGGCAGAGCGGUUGAAUGCACUGGUCUUGAAAACCAGCAAACCUUCGCGGGUUUCCAGGGUUCGAAUCCCUGUCUCUCCGCCA
rnacentral:tRNA from 6 species